rnacentral:rRNA from 1 species
GAUGAACGCUGGCGGCGUGCUUAACACAUGCAAGUCGAACGAUGAAGCCCAGCUUGCUGGGUGGCUUAGUGGCGAACGGGUGAGUAACACGUGAGUAACCUGCCCUUAACUCUGGGAUAAGCCUGGGAAACUGGGUCUAAUACCGGAUAGGAGCGUCCACCGCAUGGUGGGUGUUGGAAAGAUUUAUCGGUUUUGGAUGGACUCGCGGCCUAUCAGCUUGUUGGUGAGGUAAUGGCUCACCAAGGCGACGACGGGUAGCCGGCCUGGGCGGGUGACCGGCCACGCUGGGACGGAGACACGGCCCAGACUAGUAUGGGAGGCAGCAGAGGAGAAUAGUAUACAAUGGGAGCAAGCCUGAUGCAGCGAAGCCGCGUGGGGGAUGACGGCCUUCGGGUUGGAAACCUAUGUCAGUAGGGAAGAAGCGAAAGUGACGGUACCGGCAGAAGAAGCUCCGGCUAACUACGUG